rnacentral:lncRNA from 1 species
GCAUUUGACUCAUGAAACCUCAAUCCUAUCUGCAAGUAAUUUCUUGGUUUGCGAAUUUAUCAUCACAUGCCUAAACUCAUGCAACCUUUCUUUUCCAGUUUUUGUAUCAAGGAAUCAGAAUAGUGAAUGUACACCACCACUAUCAUUUGACUCAUGCAGUCAGAAGUAAAUAAGCAAAUCUAGUUUCUUGUACUGCCAAUUUAUUGUCACAUGUCUAAACUUAUGAACCUUUGCUUUUCAGUAAAACCUUAUGGAUUGGAACUGCAUGAACUUUACGAUGAGUGAAGACCCCUGCAGACCAAUUGGUAGCUAGUUUUGCAUACCGAUUGAUUGUUUGGCACUUAAAAGAAAGGAAGAACAAAAUAUACACUGCUCAUUGGGAGUUCGGGCAAAAUUGUGAAGUCAGUCGACUCUUAAGAAAUUUCCUCUUGCGGAUCUCUCUACUACAAAAAUUCAGCGAAGUACAGUUUUGUGAAGGUAAACAGAGUAGCAGCACCUUUAGAUCUUGAUCUUCGAGCAUGUGGAAAGGAUUCACUCUCUUCCUUCGAUGGGACUAUGUUCCCUUGUUGAAUAGCUUCAUCAUUGUGCAAUGAACAAGUGUCAAAACUAUGUUCCAAAUACUGAAAGAAUUAAAGAUAAAGGAGAGCAGCUCUUAAUAUGCCAUAAUCCUGUUCUCCUCUUGUUUUAUUGUCUUUUCUUCUUAAUGGCUACACUAGGGUUAAUCGGGGAUUAUAUGUUGAGUUGUUUUGAGUUUAAAAUGGUUAAAAAACUAAAAAGCGACUCAGAAUUUACGUUGUAGAUCCUAUAAUUUUAAAUAACAUUUAUAUAUUUUAUAGUAUAUUACAAUGCGAAGAAGUACUGUAGAAAUGCAUGAAGAUCCACUCAAUAAAACAAUAAUCUACUCUUUUUCCCUUUAACUGAUCAAGCUAUGGUAACAGACAAAUGAAAAUCAACGAUUUAUAUGUUAUCCAAAUUCAUCAUUUGAUCCUUGAGCUCAUUUAAAUGCUUAAACUCGAGAUAAAAUAAUCAAAGCACGGAUGUUCUUAGAAACAUCAACAUACGUAUCUGAAGGGGAAAAAGAAUAAAAAACAAAAUGCAUGUAAUUACUAACCUGUGUUGAUCAAAGGCUUGGUCAUGUUCGAAACUUAGGCCUUCUUCUCCAAAACCUGAAAUCCCCUCCAGAAUAGGCUUAAUAUUGUCACAUUGGUCAUAAACAGAAAGCUGCUUCAUCAAAGAAUUAGGCGCCGAUGUAGACGUGGAUUCUUGUUCGUGCAAGCUCCAAGGGAAGUUAAUAUCUGCUAAAUCUAAUUGGCCAUCUUGAAUUUCAUCAUAUUGCUGAUCAUCUUCACCUUUCUGACAACUAGUAUGAUUAUAAUAACUAUGAGGAUGGUAGUCUACAGUCUGUUGAUCAUACGAAGAUGCAUUAUUAUUCACCAAUGGAUCUGCCUGAUUCACGACACCAUCACAAUUAUUAUCAUUGAAUGAUUCCUCAGUUGCAUGAUGAUCUGCUAAUAUCUGUUGUUCUGAGGCAGCAGCAGCAACAGCCUGUGCUCUGCAGUAGGCGAGUUGAUGAAGAACGAUAUCCAACUCUGCUUUGCAAUAAUCAAUGUGGCGUUGCAGGUCUCGAAUGAUACGAU